CAUCGACAUUGGGGAGUCGGCAACGACACCCCGUCGCUGAGAAGUUGGUCAAACUUGGUCAUUUAGAGGAAGUAAAAGUCGUAACAAGGUUCCCGUAGGUGAACAUGCGGAAGGAUCAUUAUCGUACUACAGAGGUGCAAGGGUUGUCGCUGACCUUUCCAAAAGGUCGUGCACGCCCGAGUGCUCUCAUUCCAUUUCACCCCUGUGUGCAUCACCGCGCGGGGUCUCUUCCUCUUGGCUUGCUUCAAGAGGGGGAGGUUCGCGUUUUUCAUACAUAAACACCCUUCUAGUUUAGAAUGUCAUUCAUUUGCGAUCAUGCGCAAUCAAUACAACUUUCAACAACGGAUCUCUUGGCUCUCGCAUCGAUGAAGAUCGCAGCGAAGUGCGAUACGUAAUGUGAAUUGCAGAAUUCAGUGAAUCAUCGAAUCUUUGAACGCACCUUGCGCCCCUUGGUAUUCCGAGGGGCACACCCGUUUGAGUGUCGUGAAAUUCUCAAACCUGCUUGGUUUCUUGAUCAAGAUGGCUUUGGACUUUGGAGGCAUUUGCUGGCUUUGCGAAAAGCCAGCUCCUCUUGAAUGCAUUAGUGGGGUCCCCUUUGCCGAUCCCCAGGCGUGAUAAGAUGUUUCUACGUCUUGGGAUUUGCUCUGCUCCUUGGGAACCUGCUUCUAACCGUCUCAUGGAAGACAUCGUUCGAGCUUGCUCGACCCACGAACCUUGACCUCCAUCGGGUGAGACUACCCGUUGAACUUAAGCAUAUCAAUAAGCGGAGGAAAAGAAACUAACAAGGAUUCCCCUAGUAACUGCGAGUGAAGCGGGAAAAGCUCAAAUUUAAAAUCUGGUGGCCUCUGGUCAUCCGAGUUGUUAUUUAGAGAAGCGUCUUCCGCGCUGGACCAUGCACAAGUUUCCUGGAAUGGAGCGUCAUAGAGGGUGAGAAUCCCGUCUUUGGCAUGGAUGCACCAC
rnacentral:rRNA from 1 species